CUGCCAUGUAUUUUUCCACCUUAGGUCUUCAAGGCCUUUUACUGGAUGGUGGAGACGGACUCACUGGAGUUCAAAGCAGAGAGACUAGAUCCAUGCACAUUCUAACUGGCUCCAUGCAGAUAGCUAACUGUGCGUCCUCCCGAGCUGUCUUCAGGCUCCACCCCUGGUCUUUAUGGCUUGGGCUGUUGCCGAGAGCACAGAGGUAGGAAUGUAGGUGAAGAGCUUCAUGCUAAUCCCCAACCCCAUAAUCCCUGAAAGGGUUUUCACUUUGUCCUUCCACUCUGCCUGCUCUUCCCUCGCAACCUUGGACCAAGUCAACAAACCACUCUGUGGCACCUAACCAGAUUCAGCGUCCUAAGAGCUGAGAUGGUUUAGUGUGGAAAUGAUGGAGAAUGAAACAGGGCCAGCUAGCACUACUCAAGAAAAGCUCCAUUUCUUCCAUCGAGCGUUCACCUCUAGAAGAG